UACGGAGGGGGCUAGCGUUGUUCGGAAUUACUGGGCGUAAAGCGCACGUAGGCGGCUUUGUAAGUUAGAGGUGAAAGCCCGGGGCUCAACUCCGGAAUUGCCUUUAAGACUGCAUCGCUAGAAUUGUGGAGAGGUAAGUGGAAUUCCGAGUGUAGAGGUGAAAUUCGUAGAUAUUCGGAAGAACACCAGUGGCGAAGGCGACUUACUGGACACAUAUUGACGCUGAGGUGGACGAAAGCGUGGGGGAGCAAACAGG
rnacentral:rRNA from 1 species